AGAGUUUGAUCAUGGCUCAGAUUGAACGCUGGCGGUAUGCUUAACACAUGCAAGUCGAACGGUAACAGGCUAGCUUGCUAGCGCUGACGAGUGGCGGACGGGUGCGUAACGCGUAGGAAUCUGCCUAUUAGUGGGGGACAACCUGGUGAAAACCAGGCUAAUACCGCAUACGCCCUACGGGGGAAAGCAGGGGAUCUUCGGACCUUGCGCUAAUAGAUGAGCCUGCGUUAGAUUAGCUUGUUGGUGAGGUAAUGGCUCACCAAGGCGACGAUCGGUAGGUGGUCUGAGAGGACGAUCACCCAGACUGGGACUGAGACACGGCCCAGACUCCUACGGGAGGCAGCAGUCGGGAAUUUUGCUCAAUGGGCGAAAGCCUGAAGCAGCAACGCCGCGUGAGGGAUGAAGGCCUUCGGGUUGUAAACCUCUUUUUCCAGGGACGAUAAUGACGGUACCUGAAGAAUAAGUCACGGCUAACUACGUGCCAGCAGCCGCGGUAAUACGUAGGUGACAAGCGUUGUCCGGAUUUACUGGGCGUAAAGAGCGCGCAGGCGGUCGUUCAAGUCGAGUGUGAAAGCCCCCGGCUCAACUGGGGAGGGUCAUUCGAUACUGAUCGACUCGAAGGCAGGAGAGGGAAGCGGAAUUCCCGGUGUAGUGGUGAAAUGCGUAGAUAUCGGGAGGAACACCAGUGGCGAAGGCGGCUUCCUGGCCUGUUCUUGACGCUGAGGCGCGAAAGCUAGGGGAGCAAACGGGAUUAGAUACCCCGGUAGUCCUAGCCGUAAACGAUGGACACUAGGUGUUGGUGGUAUCAACCCCACCAGUGCCGAAGCUAACGCAUUAAGUGUCCCGCCUGGGGAGUACGGCCGCAAGGCUAAAACUCAAAGGAAUUGACGG
rnacentral:rRNA from 1 species